rnacentral:rRNA from 1 species
UACGUAGGAGGCGAGCGUUGUCCGGAUUUACUGGGCGUAAAGCGUGCGUAGGUGGUUCGUUAAGUCUGAUGUGAAAGCCCUGGGCUCAACCUGGGAAUGGCAUUGGAAACUGGCGACCUAGAGUGCGGUAGAGGGCAGUGGAAUUCCCGGUGUAGCAGUGAAAUGCGUAGAGAUCGGGAGGAACAUCUGUGGCGAAGGCGACUGCCUGGACCAGCACUGACACUGAGGCACGAAAGCGUGGGGAGCAAACAGG